AGCAGCCGCGGUAAUUCCAGCUCCAAUAGCGUAUAUUAAAGUUGUUGCAGUUAAAAAGCUCGUAGUUGAAUUUUAGGCCUGGCCGGGCGGUCCGUCUUUGGCGAGUACUGUCCUGUGUCGGGUCUUCCUUCUGGUGAACCAGUAUGUCCUUUAUUGGGUGUGCCGGGGAGCCAGGACCAUUACCUUGAAAAAUUAGAGUGUUUAAAGCGGGCUUUUGCUUGAAUAGAUUAGCAUGGAAUAAUAGAAUAGGACGUUGUGGUUCUAUUUUGUUGGUUUCUAGGACCACCGUAAUGAUUAAUAGGGACAGCUGGGGGCAUUAGUAUUCAAUUGUCAGAGGUGAAAUUCUUGGAUUUAUUGAAGACUAACUAUUGCGAAAGCAUUUGCCAAGGAUGUUUUCAUUAAUCAAGAACGAAAGUUAGGGGAUCGAAGACGAUCAGAUACCGUCGUAGUCUUAACCAUAAACUAUGCCGACUAGGAAUCGGGCGACGUUAUUUUCAUGACUCGCUCGGCGCCUUAUGGG
rnacentral:rRNA from 1 species